UUUUACAUUACCUGGGAUCAGGUGCAAAAAAGGAUAACAAAAGAGAUUUUGCGUAGAGAGCAAGAAUAUUUGUGAAGGAAACAAUCUAACAAAAGAUAAAUAAAUAAAUUAAACAAACAAAAACAAACAAAAAAAAAAGAGACAGAGCUAGGGCUCUCUCGAACGCAAGUGGAAUAACCGGAAUCCAGAGGUAUCCCCCACAAUGCCGCUCUAAAAAUGGUCCCAUCCCGGAAGUAAGAAAAAUUGCAGUUCCACUCUCAUCCGCUGGGGGCUGGUACCAGAAGCGAGCAAAUCCUCAUUGACCCCCAUGUUAAAAAUGCCAUUUUCACAGCAGAAAUAAACAUGUUUACAGCCUGGUUCAAAAAAUGGUUUUUUGUCUAAAUUAUCUAGUUUAUACUCAUGACAACUCUGAGGGGGGUGAAUUUUUUUCUCACUCUUCUGUUUAAGUGUAUUGAAAGCCUAAAAUUCUGUAUAAUUAAUGAGCAUCCGACACACGUGACCGCCGCCUCAGACCCACGUGACCACAUAGCUAGCUCCGUGGAAAGGCCUCAGUACAGCCUCGGUCUCUCCUGGAAACUGUGUCGGGAUUUUGAGUCUCUGUGCUUGUGAAUUCUGUUUUGGAUAAUAUUGGUGCAAUUGUUGGACAAAAUGACUUGCUGUGGUAUUAAUUGCGCUAAUAGAGCGUCCAAGGAGUCUCCACUUCAUUUUUUUCGGGAAGGACCUGAUUGGUGUCCAGAACCUGCUGAAGAAGCACCAGGCUCUGCAGGCUGAGAUCACAGGUCAUGAACCUCGCAUCAAGGCUGUCACCCAGAAAGGAGAGACCAUGGUGGAGGAAGGUAGAGCAGGUCUGGUCCUGACAUGUUUCUGAGGUGUCUGCAGGUUCUGGCUCACUUUUUUUGGGUCCAGGUCACUUCGCUGGUGAGGAAGUGAAGACUAAACUGUGGGAGCUUCAUGGACGUUGGGACACGCUGAAGGCCAAGGCGUCCCAGAGGAGGCAGGACCUGGAGGACUCUCUGCAGGCCCAGCAGUACUUUGCGGAUGCUAAUGAGGCCGAGUCCUGGAUGAGGGAGAAGGAGCCCAUCGUUGGAAGUCCAGACUAAGGGAAAGACGAGGACUUGGCCGAGGCUCUCCUGAAGAAGCACGAGGCCCUGAUGUCGGACCUGUCGGCUUACGGCAGCAGCAUCCAGGCCCUGAAGGAGCAGGCCCAGUCCUGCAGGCAACAAGGUGAUCAGCAGGUGCUUUUGUCCUGCAGGACCUGAAGGCCAACGAGUCCCACCUGAGGGACAUCAACAAGGUGGCAUCUGAACUGGAGUCAGAAGGUCUGAUGGCUGAGGAGGCUCCUAUGGUUCAGGCUCAGCAACAAGAACAUCUGGGUUCUGCUCCUGGAAAGGAUGAAGCCGACUCUAACACGGCGUCACCCUGGAAGGUGAGUUC